AUGGUCAAACCUGGCACCGGCAGGUUGGAGAAGGGAGAAAUCCUUCGCUGUGCCCUCGGCCAGGGCUCUCAGCAGCCCCAGCCCCAGAGCCGGGCUUGGCAGGAGGCCACCGCCGGCCCUGAGCCCCUCGGAGCCGCCAGGGAGCGGGAGCUGGGCUGCGGGAGGCCGGCACCAGGCACCGGAGCCGGAGCCGGCUGGACACCGGCACAAGGAGGACGUCCCCGGCGGGGACCCGCGGCUCCCUCGCCAUGCGGCGAUGCCGACGCCGCUCCCUCCCGCGGGGUCCAAACGCCCGCCCGGCGGAUUCCUCGGUCACCGCGGCUAUGCCAGGAAUGCGAGCGCCUCCUCCCAAAUGGAGACCAGCUGCCCAGGCCGGGAACAUCGCUCAGCCCUUCCCCGCGAGCAAAGGGGAACGGACCCCGCUGGGCCAGGGCUGCCCGCUCCMGGCACCGUGGGAGAUGCGGGGGGCAAACUCAUCCCUGUUCAGGGUGGGAAGGGGAAGGCUCCAAGGCAGAGCCCGAAUCCCCCCGCUCCUGGCCCUCUCCCCCAGCACGGAGCUACCGUGCUGAACCGGCGCUGGCUGCGCCCUUCGCGCUGGGCUUGCGCGCGGCAGGGGACGCUCAGCUCUCGCGCCUGCGGGACCCGCGCCCGCGGGUGACGCCGGGCCUGUCGCACUUGUCCAUUCAUCCAAGCACAGAUGGGAACCGCAGRGCCAGCUCUGACUGCGGCCCCCGCUGCAAUCCUUGCCCGUGCCUCAGUUUCCCUCUCCUGCAACCCCGGGGAUCCCCCUGCCACAAGGGGCCGUGCAGGAAGCCCCGUGCCGGGGCCUGCCGGGCGCCUCGGCGGCUGCCCUUUGCCCUGCGCGCAGGGAGGGAGCGCCGAAAAGCCGCGGCAGAACCAGCCCCGGCGGCCCGGCAGCUCCGCGGCCACCGACAUCCCGCGGCGGUGGCGGCGGCACGGGAAACGCGGGGGUGCAAAGCUUUCCGCGCGCCUUUCGCAAGAGGCGAAGGGGCGAGAGGAGCCCCCGGGAGG
rnacentral:lncRNA from 1 species